AAUUUCCGAAUUUAAACUCCCUGGACAGUGUGACUGCGAGUUUUUGGUUGGGGUGACCACGGAGCAUAAUAUAACCUCCAUGCUGAAAGAAUCUUUCUAAGCUAAGAACUACAAAUCCAAGCAUCAAUAAAUUGACAUCCAUUGACCCAAUAUACUUGAACAACGAACCAAGUUACCCUAGGGAUAACAGCGCAAUCCACUUCAAAAGCUCCUAUCGACAAGUGGGUUUACGAC
rnacentral:rRNA from 1 species